GGGAAAAAAGAGGAAAAGGCAAGAGAAGUGAGCCGAUACACGGAAUAUCACGAUGAUAUGAUGUGGAAAUUUAUUGUGGACAAGAUCAGCGAAGGAGCCCAACCAAUUAUCGAUAAGCACCCGAUUUGGGACGAAUUUGUCAAGUUGAAUGAAGAAAAUGACGUCAUUUCGAAGAAAUCUGGUCGUAAUCAUUAUGAUCGGUUGGUUAAUUGAUUUACAAUAAAAAUUUCAAAAAAAAUUUUUUUUUUUAAAUUUUGAAAACAUUUUUUUUUCAAAAAUUUCCAAAAAUUUUUUUUUUCCAGAUUCCGCCGAAUUCUGGUCCCAAAUCUCCAUUUUAUGCCAUACGACGACUUCACCAAAGCCGUAUUAUACGAAAGGCUCGAAUAUCCCAUUCCCGAGGAGUACCGAAAGAU
rnacentral:sRNA from 1 species